rnacentral:rRNA from 1 species
UACGAAGGGGGCUAGCGUUGCUCGGAAUCACUGGGCGUAAAGCGCACGUAGGCGGACUCUUAAGUCGGUGGUGAAAUCCUGGAGCUCAACUCCAGAACUGCCUUCGAUACUGGGAGUCUCGAGUUCGGGAGAGGAGAGUGGAAUAGCCAGUGUAGAGGUGAAAUUCGUAGAUAUUGGCUGGAACACCGGUGGCGAAAGCGGCUCUCUGGCCCGGUUCUGACGCUGAGGCGCGAAAGCGUGGGGAGCAAACAGG